rnacentral:rRNA from 1 species
UACGUAGGGGGCUAGCGUUGUCCGGAAUCAUUGGGCGUAAAGAGCGCGUAGGCGGCCCGGUAAGUCCGCUGUGAAAGUCAAAGGCUCAACCUUUGAAUGUCAGCGGAUACUGCCGGGCUAGAGUCCGGAAGAGGCGAGUGGAACUCCUGGUGUAGCGGUGAAAUGCGCAGAUAUCAGGAGGAACACCGAUGGCGAAGGCAGGUCUCUGGGCAUUAACUGACGCUGAGGAGCGAAAGCAUGGGGAGCGAACAGG